rnacentral:lncRNA from 1 species
GGCUGUGGGCAUAGGUGCCAGGGAGGGGAGGCCCGGGUCGAAGGCAUAGGCAGAAUUGGAGCCCUGGGUUGCCAAAGCGUCGCAGCUAAGAAGCCGGAGCCCAGGCUAGUACCGGCGGGGCGGGGCGGGGCGGGGCCGGGAGCGAGCAUCUCCAUCCUCAGUUUCCUCCACUUGCGGCAACGCCACAGCUCGGUACAGUUCGGACCUCCACGCCGCAGCGAAAGACUUCUGUCCUCCAGGCACCUUCACUAACCCGGUGCGGAGCACUUGGCGACGCCUCCCUGCCCAUCUCAUAUCUCUCGGCUCAUCGCUGCUCUGGGCACCAGCUGCCUCUUGGCUGGCGCUGCUGUCACACGGUGGACUGUUCUGGCCUUACUGAGCUGCCGUUUGGGGACAUCAGAUUCAGGUCGUAUGGGGAGAAACGAGUGUAACUUUACAAGCAAGAAGAAUUGUAUAGAAAUGUAAAAAACAUUUAUGUGUGCUUCACAUGUGGCAUGAAAAAAAUGAGGACCUCUGGUCAAAAUUGCCUGAGUUCAGAAUUUCAUGCUGGAAGGAAAGUUAGACGUAACUUCUAAUUUCUAGUUCCAGUAAGCAUCUCUUCUUGGAAAAUUUCCAAAAAA